CCUACGGGCGGCAGCAGUGGGGAAUCUUGCGCAAUGGGCGAAAGCUUGACGCAGCGACGCCGCGUGAGGGAUGAAGGUCUUCGGAUCGUAAACCUCUGUCAGCAGGGAAGAACGGUCACUGUGCUAAUCAGCAGUUAAUUGACGGUACCUGCAAAGGAAGCACCGGCUAACUCCGUGCCAGCAGCCGCGGUAAUACGGAGGGUGCGAGCGUUAAUCGGAAUUACUGGGCGUAAAGCGCUCGUAGGCGGUAUGUCAAGUCAAGGGUGAAAUCCCCGCGCUCAACGUGGGAACUGCCUUUGAAACUGGCAAACUGGAGUGUGUGAGAGGAUAGUGGAAUUCCAGGUGUAGGAGUGGAAUCCGUAGAUAUCUGGAGGAACAUCAGUGGCGAAGGCGACUAUCUGGCACAUAACUGACGCUGAGGAGCGAAAGCGUGGGUAGCAAACAGGAUUAGAUACCCGGGUAGUC
rnacentral:rRNA from 1 species